rnacentral:rRNA from 1 species
CAAGCCUGAACGAGCGAUGCCGCGUGAGUGAAGAAGGCCUUCGGGUCGUAAAGCUCUGUUGCGGGGGAAAAAAGGCAGCAUCAGGAAAUGGGUGCUGACUGAUGGUGCCCCGCCAGAAAGUCACGGCUAACUACGUGCC